rnacentral:rRNA from 1 species
GACGAACGCUGGCGGCGUGCUUAACACAUGCAAGUCGAACGAAGUGGCGAACGGGUGAGUAACGCGUAAUCAACCUGCCCUUCAGCGGGGGAAAACAGUGGGAAACGACUGCUAAUACCGCAUACGGAAGGAGGGGAUUGCGUCGGAUUAGCUAGUUGGAGGGGUAACGGCCCACCAAGGCGAUGAUCAGUAGCCGGUCUGAGAGGAUGAACGGCCACAUUGGGACUGAGACACGGCCCAGACUCCGUCGGGAGGCAGCAGUGGGGAAUCUUCCGCAAUGGACGAAAGUCUGACGGAGCAACGCCGCGUGAGUGAUGACGGCCUUCGGGUUGUAAAGCUCUGUUAAUCGGGACGCGGUACCGGAAUAGAAAGCCACGGCUAACUACGUGCCAGCAGCCGCGGUAAUUC